UCCCUGAUUCUUCUCCCUCUUCACCUUCGUUUUCUCGUCGUCGUCGCUUCCUCACUGCCAAACCUCUUCGUCGUUGCGUAGUUGUUCAUGGAUGUUGUAGGGUUGAUUGUUGCAGUAGCUCCACCCUCCAUCUCACUUGUCUCUGCGCUCUCCCUCGUCUCCAGUCUGUACCGCCGCCGCCAACGGUGGUCCUGAAUCCAAUAUCAACUAGGCAGAGAUGAAGAAUGAACCAGAAUCUUCGAGUCGCCCUAAUUUGAAGAAAUCGUUCAACUAUCCUGGUGAAUUCAAGUUGCCCAUUGCCGAUUCAAAAGCAGAUUGUUGCAAACUCUGUUGUCCAAAUGAUUAUUGCGCUGGCAUUCAUAAAGAUUAGCUUGAUUUACGUGGAGCUUAAGAAGAUUCACGAGUUCACCAGAUCAGAACAGCAGUUGUGAACUGAUCUGCUGUGAACUGAUGCCGCAGAUUUGUUGUGAACUGAUUCUGGGAUGGUGAACGAAAGUCGUAGCAUUGAUUGUCACUUAUUGAGGUCAGAUCUCUUUUCGGAGUCUCAGAGGAUUCAAUAAACAAUCCAAACCCGAACCCGGGGUAUUCCAGAUGCUCGCACAUAUCUUUUGGCUUUGAAGGAGAUACGACUCAAGGUAACAAGCUGGUUGACAUUUUUCUGUUUAGGGUAACAAGCUGGUUAACAUGGUUCAUAUUUCUUUUGUGCGAAAGCUUUAUCCAUCUUACACAAUCUGCAAUCUCGACAAGGCGAUCAUCCACUAGUGGAUGAUCGCCUUGUCGAGAUUGUUGUAUCAACAAAUCAAGAACUUCGUUUUCUUUCUAUGCAAGGUGUUUGCAUGACAUCUUCGCUAUUUGGUAAAUAUGAAGAUGGGGACAUCGUGAAUAAGUUACAAGAGAUGUAUGAGGUACUCAAAAAUUCGAGGGAGGAGCCUUUCACGAUUGAAGAGAUAAAUGAAGUUCGAGAAAAGUUGGCAAACUUCAUUUCUAGUGAUUGUCUUUGAUAUUUUCUUGUAGUGAAUUUUAGUAUUGUUUUUGAUAUUUCCUUGUAAUGAAUUUUAGGUUACGGAUGCUAGUUUUUUAUGACUGUUAUGUAAUCGAGUUUUCAACUGUACAAUUUAAUUAUCUAUAUAAUUGGGUACUUUUUUAUAA